GAUUAACGCUGGCGGCGUGCCUAACACAUGCAAGUCGAGCGGCAGCGAGUUUUACACUGAAUUCCGGAAGCUUCUAGUUGAAAGAGAAGAUUUAUUCAAGAAUUUUGUGUAAAAUGUCGGCGAGCGGCGGACGGCUGAGUGACGCGUGGGAACGUACCCCAAAGUGAGGGAUAACGCAUCGAAAGGUGUGCUAAUACCGCAUAUGGUCUUCGGAUUAAAGCCUUCGGGCGCUUUGGGAACGGCCUGCGUAAGAUUAGAUAGUUGGUGGGGUAAUGGCCUACCAAGUCGACGAUCUUUAACUGGUGUGAGAGGAUGAUCAGUCAGACUGGAACUGAGACACGGUCCAGACUCCUACGGGAGGCAGCAGUGAGGAAUCUUCCACAAUGGGCGAAAGCCUGAUGGAGCAACGCCGCGUGCAGGAUGAAGGCCUUCGGGUUGUAAACUGCUUUUAUAAGUGAGGAUUAUGACAGUAACUUAUGAAUAAGGAUCGGCUAACUACGUG
rnacentral:rRNA from 1 species